UACUGGGUGCUGUUGAUUUCACUGUUGUUGGCGCUGUUAGCACCAUUCGCUGCGAGCCGCUGGCUCAACCGUCGCCGUGUUGAGAGCCG